AUUCUAUGGUGUGGGCAUUGGGUCAAGAGAUUCUUAAAGUGAUCAAAGUAUUUUUAAAAUGAUUCUCCAGCUUGUUGGUAAAAUUAGUUUAUCUCAUUUCUAAUCCU